AGCGAACGCUGGCGGCAGGCUUAACACAUGCAAGUCGAACGGCAACGCACUACUUUCGUGGUGUGCCCGGGUGGCAAACGGGUACGUGACACGUGUAUAACCUGCCCUACACUUUGGUGUGACUUCAGGAAGCUGAAGCUACUCUCGGAUCGCAGCCCCCGCUCGGUGGAAAGCGUUGGAACGUUUAGGCGGGUGGGGAUGGACGCGCGGCUUAUGAGCUUGCUGGUGGGGGAGUGGCUUACCCAGGCUGUGGAGGGUAGCCGGCCUGAGAGGGUGGCCGGCCACAUGGGGACUGAGAGACGGCCCAGACUCCUACGGGAGGCAGCAGUGGGGAAUAUUGCACAAUGGGCGGAAGCCUGAGGCAGCAACGCCGCGUGCGGGAUGACGUCCUUCGGGUUGUAAACCGCUGUCGCCUGUGACGAAGCGUGAGUGACGGUAAUGGGUAAAGAAGCACCAGCUAACUACGUG
rnacentral:rRNA from 1 species